rnacentral:rRNA from 1 species
AUCGGCCCCCGAAGGGCCGCCACCCUCAAAUAGCCCCAACGCGGGCACAGAGUACCGAGUGAUGAUGAGAUAGCGCUCGUGUUCUGCUGUGAUACGCCCACUAGGACCGGCGCUCAUGGCCGUGGGCGCUUCCCGGGGACGAAUCUUCCCGUGUCCGGGGAAGAAUGGUUGAAGCGUGAACUUAAAGUUGACGAAGGGCCCCAGGAUGAGCGCGGGCUUAAUUUGACUCAACACGGGAAAACUCACCCGGCCCGGACACCGUGAGUUGACAGAUUGAUAUGUUUUUCAUGAUUCGGUGGUGGUUGGUUGCAUGGGCCUCUUUAGGUUCGUGGAUCGAUUUGUCUGGUUUAUCACGAUAACGAGCGAGACUCAGCCUACUAAUAGUGCCGGGCAUUGUCUUGUGCCGUGUACUUUCUUAGAGGGAUUGGCUGCGUCUAGCGACGAAACGGAGCAAUAACAGGUCUGUGAUGCCCCUUAGAUGUCCGGGGCUGCAACGCCGCUACAUUGGCAAAGGCAGCGUGCUUUC